UGGGCAGACAGAGAAGGGCGGGCAGGAGCCAAGCGGCGAGCUCCAGUGACCGGCGUGCCCGUGGCUUCGGUGUUCCCGCCUCGAGGACCCGGGAGUUCGGUCCCGGAGCCCCUCGGGGGCAGGCGUGGAGGGGAGCCUGGCCGGCGGGCGGGGCCAGGGCCGCCCUCAGUAGACUCAGAUGACCUGUAUCUUCAAAAGAUGGGGCGUCUUCCCUAAGGACGGGGGAGAGUUUCCUCAGGAACGUUGCCUUCAGCAGAUCUGAAACUAUGGAGAGGCGCCCAACGGUCUGCAGAAAUCCAUCACCUGACACUCCUGAGCCCCCUCCCCAACCCUAUCUGCCUUAUAUAAGUCAUUAGCAAAUCAGUUCCCCUUUAAGAUGGUUUAUUUUUUGGACAAUAGUCUGCCAUCGUCUGAUCAGCAGGCUCAUUGCUGAAUAAAGU
rnacentral:lncRNA from 1 species